UUUUAUUGGUAAUUUUCUGAUUUUCCUAACACAAAUGACAUCUCAAUUUUCAGUCCUACCAACCGAUCCAUUAUCGUCUUCCCCAAAUGAGAUUUACUCAAACCCUCAAAACCCCAUCGUUCUCUCUCUCUCUCUCUCUCUAUGCGAUUUGGUCCGAUGAAGCUCCGCCUCUCUCGCUCUUUGUCUCUCUCGUUCAUUUCCACAGCUCCAAAGGUCCUCAAUAUCCCCAUCGUCGACUUCUACAGUUCCAAAGCUCCCAAUGUUUGAAGUGGAAGAAGAAAUUGAAAUGCUUCUGGAAAACUAUCUCCAAAGCUCUCGGAUGCUUGAGGUUAUCAGAGUCCUUCAAGUUGGGACAUUUUGUUUGGCAGUCGGUGCUCUAGUUGCAGAAAGUUACAGCAAAGUGACUGAGAGGGCUUUACCAGAAGUUCGUGGGAAUACAUAGCAGAAAAUGUAUUACAAGACUUGCCUCUUCUUUUGAAGAAUGGAGGACUAAAAUGGAGUCUGAAGUUGGAAGUUAUACAUCAAAUGUAGUCUUAGAUUCAUGUUAUUUUUCAUCAGCUAGUGUUAGUUUUAUUUCCAUUUUUGAGUACUUACAUGAUUAAAUCAAACUAAACUAGAUUACAUGACAGAGUAUGAGAACUGUUUCCUUAGGAUGACUUCAUUCAACCAUGAAUCUGUUACCAAAAAGACUUGUUUUCGGACACACUAAGACUUACAUUGAUAUAAACAACAAUUAUUCAAUA